UCAAGCUAGAAAGGGCAUACGGUGGAUGCCUUUGGCGCUGACGAGCGACGAAGGACGUGGAAGGCUGCGAAAAGCCUCGGGGAGCUGCCUAGCAAGCUUUGAUCCGAGGGUGUCCGAAUAGGGAAACCUCAUACGGCGUAAGUCGUGUGACCGUUCACUGAAUCCAUAGGUGGGCGGGGCGAACCCGGGGAAGUGAAACAUCUCAGUACCUGGAGGAGAAGAAAUCAAUAGAGACUCCCCAAGUAGCGGCGAGCGAACGGGGACUAGGCCAAACCAAGAGACUUAGUCUCUUGGGGUUGUAGGGCGGCGAUAUGAGACCGGAAGCGGUAGGCGAAGCACUUGAAAGGUGCGGCACAGAGGGUGAUACCCCCGUAGCUUAAACCGUUAACGGCUCUAGCCUGUCCCUGAGUACGGCGGGGCACGUGAAACCUUGUCGGAAACUGGGUGGACCAUCAUCCAAGCCUAAGUAUCUGUCAGCGACCGAUAGCGCAUAGUACCGUGAGGGAAAGGUGAAAAGUACUCCAGUGAGGAGGGUGAAAAAGAACCUGAAACCGUAUGUCUACAAUCGGUGGGAACACUAUGGUUCGUCCAGUGUGACCGCGUACCUUUUGUAUCAUGGGUCGGCGAGUCAAUUUCAGCGGCAAGGUUAAGCCAUUAGGUGUAGCCGAAGCGAAAGCGAGUCCGAAUAGGGCGCGAAGUCGUUGGGAUUGGACCCGAAGCCUGUCGAUCUACCCAUGGGCAGGGUGAAGCGAGGGUAAAACCUCGUGGAGGCCCGAACCCAUUGAUGUUGAAAAAUCUUGGGAUGACUUGUGGGUAGGGGUGAAAGGCCAAUCAAGGCAGGUGAUAGCUGGUUCUCCCGAAAAAUAUUUAGGUAUUGCCUCGAGGAAUUCAGUGGCGGAGGUAGAGCACUGAAUGGGCUAGGGCGCCUACCAGCGUACCAAACCCAAUCAAACUCCGAAUGCCGUCAACUGUUACCUCGGAGGCAGACUGCGGGUGAUAAGGUCCGUAGUCGAGAGGGAAACAACCCAGACCGACAGCUAAGGUCCCAAAAUCCUAGCUAAGUGGAAAAGGAUGUGGGGGCACAUAAACAACUGGGAGGUUGGCUUAGAAGCAGCAAUCCUUUAAAGAAAGCGUAAUAGCUCACCAGUCGAGUGAACCCGCGCCGAAAAUUUAACGGGGCUCAAGUUAGGUACCGAAGCUUCGGACUCGAAAGAGUGGUAGGGAGCUCUGCAGCGACUGCGAAGGCGUACCGGCAAGGAACGCUGGAGUUUCUGCAGGUGAUUAUGCCGACACGAGUAGCGAUAAAACGGGUGAAAAGCCCGUUCGCCGAAAACCCAAGGGUUCCUGGGGUAGGUUAAUCCUCCCAGGGUCAGCCGGGUCCUAAGACGAGGCCGAGAGGCGUAGUCGAUGGAAAACAGGUUAAUAUUCCUGUGCCGGCCUGGUGCGAUUGAAAUGAGGGGGACGGAGAAGGAUAGCCCAACCAGGUUCUGGAAGUCCUGGUUCAAGCAUGUAGGCUGGCGCUGCAGGAUCAAACGCAGUGUCAAGGCUGAGGUGUGAUGCAAUAGUGCGUCUUCGGACAAACUAUUGGAGGUGAUUCCCUGCUUCCUAGAAAAGCCCCGCAUGGACAAUCCAGGUCGCCCGUACCGUAAACCGACUCAGGUGGGUGGGAAGAGAAUUCUAAGGCGCUUGAGAGAAUCGUGGUUAAGGAACUCUGCAAAUUAGCACCGUAACUUUGGGAUAAGGUGUGCCUUCAUUACGUGAAACCCCUGCGGGUGGAGCGGAAGAGGGUUGCAACAAAGAGGGACUGGCGACUGUUUACCAAAAACACAGGUCUCUGCUAACGCGUAAGCGGAAGUAUAGGGGCUGACGCCUGCCCGGUGCCGGAAGGUUAAGGAGAGUCGUUAGCGUAAGCGAAGCGAUGAACCGAAGCCCCGGUGAACGGCGGCCGUAACUAUAACGGUCCUAAGGUAGCGAAAUUCCUUGGCGGGUAAGUUCCGUCCUGCACGAAUGGCGUAACGACUGGUCCACUGUCUCAACCACGAACUCAGCGAAACUGAAGUCCCGGCGAAGAUGCCGGGUACCCGCAGCAAGACGGAAAGACCCCGUGAACCUUUACUGUAGCUUGGCAGUGAUGUUCGAAUUGUAUUGUGUAGGAUAGGUGGGAGGCUUUGAACCUGGAUCGCUAGAUUCAGGGGAGCCAUCCUUGAAAUACCACCCUGUAUAGUUUGAGCAUCUAACCUGGGCCCGUUAUCCGGGCCGGGGACAUUGCCUGGUGGGCAGUUUGACUGGGGCGGUCGCCUCCCAAACAGUAACGGAGGCGCACGAAGGUUCCCUCAGCCCGAUUGGAAACCGGGCGUCGAGUGUAAUGGCACAAGGGAGCUUUACUGCGAGACCGACGGGUCGAGCAGUGCGAAAGCAGGUCAUAGUGAUCUGGUGGUACCGCAUGGAAGGGCCAUCACUUAACGGAUAAAAGGUACUCCGGGAUAACAGGCUGAUCUCCUCCAAGAGUUCAUAUCGACGAGGAGUUUUGGCACCUCGAUGUCGGCUCGUCACACCUGGGGCUGAAGUCGGUCCCAAGGGUUUGGCUGUUCGCAAUUAAAGUGGCACGCGAGCUGGGUUCAGAACGUCGUGAGACAGUCGGUCCCUAUCUGCUGUGGCGUAGGAGACUUGAGGAGAGCUAUCUUUAGUACAGAGGACCGAGAUGGACGUACCGCUGUGGUUCCGGUUGUUCACCAAGAGCAUCCGGGUAGCUAAGUACGGAACGGAUAACCGCUGAAAGCAUCUAAGCGGGAAGCCUCCUCCAAGACAGGUCUCCCUGGAGCAAUCCCUAAAGGUCCGUUCUAGACCAGGACGUUGAUAGGCCACAGGUGGAAGCACAGCAAUGUGUGAAGCUGAGUGGUACUAAUUGACCGUGAGGCUUUGAACA
rnacentral:rRNA from 1 species